rnacentral:rRNA from 1 species
GAUGAACGCUGGCGGAGGGAAGAAUACAUGCAAGUCGAGCGAACAGACGAGGAGCUUGCUCCUCUGACGUUAGCGGCGGACGGGUGAGUAACACGUGGAUAACCUACCUAUAAGACUGGGAUAACUUCGGGAAACCGGAGCUAAUACCGGAUAACAUGUUGAACCGCAUGGUUCAACAGUGAAAGACGGUCUUGCUGUCACUUAUAGAUGGAUCCGCGCCGCAUUAGCUAGUUGGUAAGGUAACGGCUUACCAAGGCAACGAUGCGUAGCCGACCUGAGAGGGUGAUCGGCCACACUGGAACUGAGACACGGUCCAGACUCCUACGGGAGGCAGCAGUAGGGAAUCUUCCGCAAUGGGCGAAAGCCUGACGGAGCAACGCCGCGUGAGUGAAGAAGGUCUUCGGAUCGUAAAACUCUGUUAUUAGGGAAGAACAAAUGUGUAAGUAACUAUGCACGUCUUGACGGUACCUAAUCAGAAAGCCACGGCUAACUACGUG